CUCCGGUCGUGGGCGACGACAUGGGUAGGUCUCGGUGGCCUACCGGUGUCGUGGCGGCUUCACGGUGGCUCGACGGAUCUGUCCGCGGCAACGGCCGGCUCCUCUGGCGUCGGUUUGUCUGCGUUCGGGCCGCCUCGUCCUUCACCCCAUCUCCUCGUCACCCGGGCGCUACUCCCAUCAUAGGGCUGGUCCUUUCCCAGCUGCGAUCCACCGCUCAUCUCGCGCUCGUUGCCGCCGGACAGAGCUCGUCUCGCGCACGAUGCAGCAGGACCGAGCUCGUCUCGCGCACGAUGCAGCAGGACCGGACUCGUCUCGCGCACGAUGCAGCAGGACCAAGCUCGUCUCGCGCACGUUGCAGCAGGACCGAGCUCGUCUCGCGCACGUUGCUGCAGGACCGAGCUCAUCUCGCGCUUGGGGUAGCAGGAUGGGUCGGUGGAUGCCGACGCUGGGGGUUGCCCAGGGGCGCGAAAGGUGGGACCUUUCCGCUCGUCUCUCUCGUUGGGGUGCGCUGGGUCACGGGUGAGGUGGUGUCGAGGUCUUGGAUGCUGGGGCGGCGGCCCUGGUGGUGGUGGUGGCGCGGUGCUCUUGGACAAAGCCCGCGCCUUGGUGCUGCCCGCUCAUCAUGGCCGUGUGGGCGGCGUGGUUGGCGGGGUGUGGCGUUCGGUGGCGGUGAAUGUUGGCCGAGGUGAAAACCUGCUUUAUCUUCGGACGGACCGGCGGCGGCGAAGAUCGCUCCCUUCUUGAAGGCGUCGUCGCGGCUCUCAUUGUCCGUCUUGCGGCUCCGGGGGAAACUUGAUCCUUGGAUCGGGCGGUGGCGGCGCUCCGGCGUCGUUUCCUUCCUGAAGGCGCCGCCUUGGAGCGCAUGGUCCGUCAUAUGUAGCUUCAUAUCUUCGGGGCGGUAGUGCUAGGAGUAGUGUUGCUGCGCUCAGCGCCUUUGUAUCCCGUCUUGGGUGUGUGCGUGAGUUGCGGUCGCGUAGCGUGUGGUUGUACUGGAUGCUUGUGGGUUGUUGCUUUAUAUAUAAAGCUGGGCGAAAGCCUUUUUCGGUAAAUGAGUGUAUGACAUAAAAAAAAGGCUAGGAUGAUCAGAGACGCCGGAGGAUUAGUAGGGUGAUUAGCAGAAAUAUAAGCACAUUUGGUAAAAUUUCCUCUAGGAAGGGGGGGCCAAGGCCCGGUAUUGUCCCGCCUACACUCUGCCACUGUUGAUAGGAGUAUCAAAGGGCAUGAUAGAAAAACAUCAAGCCCUAAUACAAUGGAAAAGAUAGGGUUGUUUCAAUUUUAAUAAACCAGCAAAAGAAAAUGCAAAACAAAUUAGUGUGAGUAGGAACCUGACAGAUGAGGAAUAAAACAUGCACCAGAUCUAUUCCCCAACUUGCACUCCAAUUUGAGAGAGAGAUGGAUUUAUUUUCCAUGGGGGAGAAGGAGAGACAGGAGAGAUUCUAUGGCUUACGAUUGCUUCGGGUAUUUUUUUUUUACGUGAGAAGAGGAAAAAAAAUUAUGAGGAAAAUACUAUCUUAGGGUUAUCUCAUUUGCCUUCUAUUUGUACAACCGUCAAAGUAUUGUGGGCCUGCUCCUCGGGCUAGGCUCUCUAAUCAAUUUAUUUUAGGCGAGAUAAUUAUCUGGUUAAUCUGCACCGCAAUAAUUCGGCCCCACCAGAUUAACGGCUCGUAUUUUUUAAUUAACAUGGGAAUUUCUUGGGAGUCUCUAAUUAGUAUAAGUAAGUAUAAGUAUAGAUAGAUAGAAAGAGCUUGUUUAUGGUGUCAUGUGCCAGCUAUUUUAUAUUUUAUUUUUGUGCCUCUUGACGCCACUUCGAAUGGCUGAAUGCCAAUGCCAGAUUAAACAGACAUUGAUACUUGAAUCACUGGCUUCAUACAGUUCUCUUGUAUUUAGCUGUCUAACCAGUGUACUUGUGUGUGCUAACUUUUACACAACGCGCAAGUUUCACCUUUUUAGCUAAUGUAUGGCACAUGAGUUAUGCAGUAAUGUAAUGUGAGUAUUUCUUAUCUCACAUUUCUAUCAGAAUUUUAGCUAAUGUAUUUUUAGACAGUCCACUGUAUUGGUCAAUGGUAUGUUAUACUGGUUAAGUAGGAUGAUUUAAGCAUAUGCAUGCACCCCAUUGUUUUCUAUUGCUGUUUUUUGUUUCACAAACAGUCCACUAUUAUAGUUGAUCUUCUAGUUCAAUGUGCCUUUUCUUCCUGCCAUGGUUUAUACUUAUGAUAUACUCAUUGAGCAGGGAAACCCUCAAACGACAAAGACCAGCAGGAUAGGAAGGGUGACAAUGAGAUGGCAGGCGCUGGAAAUGUUUCUGAUGUGGAUCUUGCUAGGAAAAUGUUAGAUACUGCAAGAGGUAAUAAUGGAAAAGAGCAAAGGCAACACUGCGGAGAUAUCAAGAAUCCUUUCCGCGGAAAAGAGAAAGAGUGGAAUUAAUUUGACAAGUCACUCAGUGAAAUGUUUAACCAUCUUGGAGCAUUUACCUAGCUGUGCUUGACACCAGGGGCAAAGGCUGCCCCUUUUUCUUGUUCAAGGGUGGCGCGGCGAACACAGAUGCAACAUCGGCGAGAGUCGUUGGGGACACUGAUAUUUACCCAGGUUUGGGCCGCAUGGUAACGGCUUGGAUGUUCGCGACUUGUUCAUGGGAGCCCACGACUUGGGCGUUCCUGGGAAGAAUGCGGAUGUCUUGAUAUCUCCUUAUACCUUAUUGUUGGUGCGGAAGCCGAGGGUCACGAAGGUAGCACCUCUCGAUGACCUGCCUGGAUGUCUGUGCUUCACUUGUAUCUCCAGGGAGGAGCCUUGGAUGAUUCUUGGAUAUGCUGAUGCCUAGGUGAUCUCCCGGCAAGGAGCCACUGUGUGCCGCACGCAUGAGGGUUUGUGGGUACCCGAUACCCGCGACACCGACAACCUAACUGCAUUCUGUUUUGGGUAUGAAACUGUCAAUCGUCUGUCAUAUAGCAGUAGUAUUUGCAUCCUUCUGAGGUGGGUCUCUGUGGUUUUAGGAGUACUAAAUUUUUAGUUAGAUACGUGCUGGUAUCUUGUAGAUUUGGCUGGUCUUCCUGUUGCUUAAUUAUCCCCCUUAAUUCAGUCCCGGGACUCCCUGCACCGGCUUGGUCUUGGAGCUGCCUCCAUUAUGUAAAUUGUGUAUACAGAACCAUGAAAGUGCCAAGGAGACUCGGAAAUUCCACUUGAGAAGAUGAGAUAA